rnacentral:rRNA from 1 species
AUUGAACGCUGGCGGUAGGCCUAACACAUGCAAGUCGAACGAGUGGCGGACGGGUGGGGAAUACAUCGGAAUCUACUCGGUCGUGGGGGAUAACGAAGGGAAACUUACGCCAAUACCGUAUACGAUAGCAUGGGCCGAUGUCGGAUUAGCGAGUUGGAGGGGUAAAGGCACACCAAGGCGCCGAACCGUAGCUGGUUUGAGAGGAUGAUCAGCCAAACUGUAACUGAGACACGGUCCAGACUCCUACGGGAGGCAGCUGUGGGGAAUAUUGGACAAUGGGCGCAAGCCUGAUCCAGCCAUACCGCGUGGGUGCAGAAGGCCUGCGGGUUGUAAAGUCCUUUUGUUGGGAAAGCGGUACCCAAAGAAGAAGCACCGGCUAACUUCGUGCCAGCAGCCGCGGUAAUAC